GAAAACUCCCGCGCCAUUCUCCCACCUUUUAUUUUUACUCAUCUCUUACCUCAAUUUUACCUACACAUUUCACUGUCGCCGCCGGCAAGCUUCCGAUUAACAAUGGCGGAUCCUAAAUUUAUAUAUAUAUAAAGCUCUAAAAAAUUCUGAUCGGAAGAACUCACUGUACAAUUUUUUUUGGAUCCGCCAAUUGACGGCGAAAUCGAGAUGCAGGGCCGUCAACCCCAUCCCCACACCACCACUCCUAUAUCCGAAG
rnacentral:misc_RNA from 1 species